AUUUAACUGAAAAAUACCUCUUGUUUGAUCCUAUUGUGAAGGGGGUUAUUUUAAAAUUUCCACUUUCAGCUUCUUGCUUAUAUAUAGUAUAAAACUGAUUUUUGUGUACUGAUAUUUGUAUCCAAACUCCCUGCUAGGCUUUCCUGUUUUUUUUAAUGUUUAUUUAUUUUUGAGAGAGAGAGGAAGGCAUAGAGAGAGGGGGAGACACAAAAUCUGAAGCAGGUUCCAGGCUCUGAGCUGUCAGCACAGAGCCUGAUGUGAGGCUUGAACUCAAGAAACGUGAGAUCACGAUUUGAGCUGAAGUUGGACUCAGCUGACUGAGCCACCCAGGUGCCCCUAGUCUUUCCUAUUAAUUCUAAACAUCUAGCGUGUUUUUUUUAUUUCCUACAUAUUCACUACAUAGUAAGCAAACAAUGACAGUUUUUGUUUUUCAUUUCUGCAGUCUAUGGCAUUUAAAAUGUCCCCAGUGACCCCUGCCUGUUGGUAUUUGUGUAAUCUUUCCUUGAAUGUUAAGUUGGGUGUAGUGACACAUUUGUAACAAAUAGAAUAUGACAAAAGUGAUAGGAUAUCUCUUGAGAUUAGAGUACAUAAAGACCCAGUUUCCGUCUUGCUUGCCCUCCCUCUCUCUUUCCCAGGCCUGCUCUGAGGGGAAAGCCAGAUGACCUGCGGGAGCUGCUCUUUGGAGAGGCCCCUCAGGCCAGGAACUCCUGUCUCUGCCUUCUAGUGAGUGAGGACGUGCGGCCUGCCAACAGCUGUGUGAGCAAUCUUGGAAGUGGCUGUUCUGAAGCCUGCCAGCAGUCACUGUCGGUAUAACCUCAGUGUUUCAACUUUCCAUUUGAGGAAAUGAAAUGGGAACAACAAUGAGAUAAUAAGAGAAUGGAAUUCACUGAUCUAUUAAAAGCUGUUGGAGGUGUCUGGUUUAGGAAGACUCUUCACAAGUCCUGACCAUCCAGGACUUGGGACAGAUGGACCCAGUGGGAACAGUCUUGUGUUGGUAAUGAUUGUACCAUAAAGGAAAAGCUAGGGAUUUUAUUUAAAAGUUAUGUAUAUUUUAUAUAAUUUGUAAUCCAUUAGUUGUGGAAAGAAGAAACUUAAAAACUGAUAAUCUUUAUUGUAACAUAAGUAACUAUGGGUACUGUUUUGACUCCUGUAUCACCAUAUUUUUCUCCAAAACCUCACAGGGAUCUAUUGCUUGCUAAACACUCUCCAAAAGUGGGCUAUCUACAUGGUGAGAAUAAACAGUUAUCUCAAUACAGCAGCAGAUAAUUUGGGUUAAAUGUCAGAUUACUAGAUUUUAAAGUGAAAAAAAUUGUCUACAAAAUUGAGUUUGAGAAAAAAGAAAAACAAGAGGUAGGAUAAUUUUGUGCAAGUCGCCUGUCUUUUCUACAACGUGGGAGUAACUGCCGGUUCUCUUUCCUUAGAAUAAAUCUUGGUUACCUCUUAUUCCUCAGACUCAUUUUUCAUCUCUUUACCAAGCACCUUAUAAUAAGUGCAGAAGUAGAAUCUGAGAUAAAACGUGUUUGCAAACGAUGCUUUUGGAGUUGACAACACCAACCUACUGCAAGGAGUCCAACAAGCGUAGCCCAGAAAACACCUUAGAGGUCACUGAGAAGAUUAAGUGACUUUACCAGAGAUAUACAGGCGAGUGGAGAGAACACUGUGAGCAGUGGCAGUGGUACCAGGGCAUAGCUUGGGGAGACUUUCAUCUCCCGCACCUGAAAGAAACAGAACUAAGGAAAUGGUAUAUUUGCUGUGCAAAUGUCAACCUUAAGGCAAGACUCUUAGUCCCUUCUUUCCAUCUGAAUUGUUACUGAAAGGUCCUUCCCACUAGAAUUUGUAGCACCAAUCUUGGUUAGUGAGUCACGCUAACUUGAGUGAAUCACAGCCUCUCUGGGCUUUGGUUUCCUCAGUAAACUGAAGGGAUUGGAUUUCAGAGGUCACAAACUCCAAUGUCUUCUGGGGACAGGAAGAUAGUAGAGGUUGUGAGUAGUGGAAGGGCCAGUAGAAGGUGGAACAUUCAAGUCCUACGCCAAAGUAUUUGAAACAAAAACAAAAUGCCAAAUGCCAGUGUUGGCCAAAAAAAUAAUAUGGGCAGAGAUGACAAAAUUUGCAUUAGGUGAGUUGUGAGGUCUCUUCUGGUUCUGGUGUUUCGUGAUUUUUUUUUAAACCUUUUCCCACACUUGGCCCCUUAUUGCUUUAUGCUUAUUUUCCUAUUUCUGUCUCUUGAGCUCUUCUGCUUUUGUUUUGAGUAAAACACAUGUCAGCACACUCAGUUCUAUAUGAAAAUAGAAGAAAGCCUGUCAGGGUAAGUUUAAAGUGAAUGCUAAUGCAUCAUGAAUCGCCUUUUUCCAAAAGAAAUUUUAUCUUCAUCCUUAGGCUUGUUAGAAUGUGCUUAACCUGGGGCAUCUGGGUAGCUCAGUCAGUUAAGCAUCUGACUUCACCUUAGGACGUGUUCUCGUGGUUUGUGAGUUCGAGCCCUGUGUCAGGCUCUGUGCUGACAGCUUGGAGCCUGGAGCCAACUUUGGAUUCUGCGUCUCCCUCUCUCUCUGCCCCUCC